rnacentral:rRNA from 1 species
GAUUGCUGCUAUUAGGGUUCGAUUAAGCCAUGCAAGUCAGGGAUUCUUCGGAGUCCCGGCAAAAUGCUCAGUAACACGUUGAUAAUCUGCCCAUAGGUAAGGAAUAACCUCGGAAAACUGAGGACAAUACCUUAUAGGAGAAUAUAUCUGGAAAGGUUUUUCUCUUAAAGCUUCGGUGCCUAUGGAUGAGUUAGCGGCGGAUUAGGUUGUUGGCGGGGUAACGGCCCACCAAGCCGAAGAUCCGUACGGGCCUUGAGAGAGGUAGCCCGGAGAGGGACACUGAGAAACUGGUCCCAGCCCUACGGGGUGCAGCAGGCGCGAAACCUUUACAAUGCACGAAAGUGUGAUAAGGGAACCCUAAGUGCUUAUCUUAUGAUAGGCUUUUGUUAAGAGUAAAUAUCUUGGCGAAUAAGUGGUGGGAAAGACUGGUGCCAGCCGCCGCGGUAACACCAGCGCCACGAGUGGGGAUCAUGUUUAUUGGGCCUAAAGCGUCCGUAGCCGGUUUAUUAAAUCUUUUGUGAAAUCAUUAAGCUUAACUUAAUGGCGUGCAGAAGACACUGGUGAACUUGGAACCGGGAGGAGUCAGAAGAAUGGGAUGGGGAGCGGUAAAAUGUGAUAAUCCAUCCUAGACUACCUGUGGCGAAGGCGUCUGACUAGAACGGGUUCGACGGUGAGGGACGAAAGCUAGGGGAGCGAUCCGGAUUAGAUACCCGAGUAGUCCUAGCUGUAAACGCUGCGAGCUAGGUGUUGCAUAUUCCACGUGAAUAUGCAGUGUCGAAGUGAAGACGAUAAGCUCGCCGCCUGGGAAGUACGGUCGCAAGACUGAAAC